GUGAGAAGGUGCUGUGGUACCCGCCGUGCUGAGGCGCUUCCCUGUGCGAGCACACUGAGUUUGCUUAGGGUUGGCUUUGCUUUUUCCUUCUCUGUGGAGGGGAAAAGAGUGGAAGGCUACAAAGUCCAAAGGCAGUGAGGUGCCAGAACGUGUAACCCUGUCUCUUCACGUUAACUCCAUGGCAGUCUUCUGCACGCCUCCUGGAAAUGUCAUUCACUGGGAGGCUUCCUAGUCCCAUUUCCUCUCUCUUUUUGCUGCCUUAUGCUUGUACAGCACCCAUGUUUCUGCCGUUUCACUGUAGACAAAAUGAAUUCAUCUAUAUUUAUAUCCUUACAGAAAGGAGACGACAACGAAAAGAGAGGAGAGUGGAGCUGAAGAAGGCUGCCCUCAGAGCUGCUGCUGCACGUGCCGAGGUGAGUCCUUGGUGAACGCAGACACGGCUCUUGUUGUUCUCAGGGCCUCUGUCUGUCACACAUGAAAGGAAGAGACUGUAAAAUCCCGAGGGAAGUGGUGUCCUGUUUCUACCCUCGCUCCGUUUCUUCCCAGGCCUCCGCAGUGGACAGCCUUGUGGAGAUGAUGCAGAAGCUGCAGCUGAGGGACUGAGAGGAGGAGCGUCAGCAGGCAGCAGCUUCUGCAGUGCGUGGCGUUACAGGGCAGCGCUGAGUGCCGCCCAUCUCAGCACUCCACCUUCAAACGUAGUCAAUAAAAACCAGUCAAAUUUAUAGAUUCACAGAGAGCGCACGGCCUGAUUUGUCCAGCGGCACUCGGAGAGCUGCUGCACCACCUCCUCGUUAUUGGUCUCGCGGCGCUCGCUCAGAACUGCCACAGCUCCGUCAGCGAAUGCUGCCGUCCAGUGUUGCAACAAAGGCAGCAGUCCUUUGCACUGCCCACAGACAGACUGUCUGC
rnacentral:lncRNA from 1 species